rnacentral:rRNA from 1 species
UACGUAGGGUGCAAGCGUUAAUCGGAAUUACUGGGCGUAAAGCGUGCGCAGGCGGUUGUGUAAGACAGGUGUGAAAUCCCCGGGCUUAACCUGGGAAUUGCAUUUGUGACUGCACGGCUAGAGUGUGUCAGAGGGGGGUAGAAUUCCACGUGUAGCAGUGAAAUGCGUAGAUAUGUGGAGGAAUACCGAUGGCGAAGGCAGCCCCCUGGGAUAACACUGACGCUCAUGCACGAAAGCGUGGGGAGCAAACAGG